rnacentral:piRNA from 1 species
UGUUUUUGUUGACUUUGGAUGUGUCCUAAU